UCAGGAGUUAGGCACGUGGGUUCAAGCAUGCGCAUUAAGAGACAAAAUGAUGGCGUUUAACUGGCAUAUGACCUUCUUCUGGGAAUGCUAAACUGGAGAGUCAAGAAUUGCGAAGGCUUGAGAUUUUAUUCUACUUUCAAGAUAACAAGAUAGUCUGCCACUGUUUCCUGGAUGUUGGAAGAAGACAUGAAUGUCCUGGGCCCAAAAGAAAGAACUUUAUACUCAUGGCAGAAGGAACCUGUCCAGAAAAAAAUCCUGAGCGUGCCACUGGAUAAAGGUUUAAAUGGGCUUUCUGCCAGUGAACUACAUUUGAUAGUUACGUGGGUGCAGCCCAUGGCAGGAAUCCACACAGCUCACAGGAGAUCUGUGGGGCCCUGGGAUGUUGCAAUGUCACUCUGUCUGGAUGUCCCUGAAAAUGUGUUGGGUACCACCAGGUCUUGGGAUCUCAAGCGGAGUCUGUGGAUGCAUGGAUUGAGAACUGCUCGGCUUCAUCAUCUUGAAGAUCCUGUGUUAAGAUUCACUGAGAGUGGCUGGCAAAAUAUUAAGGGAAAUAUAGGGAAGUUGUAAAUUACAGUCUUAAACUUUGUAGAGGGCCAAAACGUUUCAAUAAGACUGGUUGAAGGCAGCCAGUUCUUAAGUUCUUACAUUAGAACUUUAAAUCAUAGGGUAAAGAUUAGGAAUAAUAAAAGCUUCCUUAGUUAAGUCUAUUUACAUUCUUUUGUCUCUAUUCUGUUUACUCAUAUAAACUUUGUGCUGGAUGGUCCUCUCAAAAAGAAGUUGAAGAAUUACCCAUUAAUAGUGUUUAUUGACGUGAUCUCAAGUGGUGACCCUGACAUGAUCGAGGUUUCAGUCCUGCUCAGCUAUAUGUAUAUAUAUAUAUUUUUUGAGAUGGAGUCUUGCUCUGUUGCCUAUGCUGGAAUGCAAUAGCAUGAUCUUGGCUCACUGCCACCUCCACUUCCCAGGUUCAAGCAAUUCUCCUGCAUCAGCCUCCCAAGUAGUUGGGAUUACAGGUGCCACCACACCUGGCUAAUUUUUUAUAUUUUUGGUAAAGACAGGGUUUCACUAUGUUGGCCAGGCUGGUCUCAAACUCCUGACCCCAAGUGAUCCACCCUCCUCGGCCUCCCAAAGUGCAGGGAUUAUAGGUGUGAGCCUUAAGAAUCUAAAAUGAUGACUAAUAUAGAUUCAUUUAUAAUUCCAACUCAGUCCUUCUUCAUGUGCAUUUGUAGGCAGUUGUGUAGUUCAGGCAUUUAGUUUAUAAUCCUGGAAUAAAGUAUAAAAAAGGCCAGUGGUGAAAAGCAUGGACUUUGAAGCCAAAAUACUUGGGUUUGAGUCCUGACUCUAUCAAUUCCUAGCUAUGUGACCUUGGGAAAAUUAUUUAAUCAUAAGUACUUUAUGAUUACUGACCCUUGGGAAGACCUAUCUCCCUGGCUAUGAGACUGGUCAUCCUAUCCUGAGGCCUGCUGAGGCCUCAUUGGGGCUGGAGACUGGUCAUCCUAUCCUGAGGCCUGCUGAGGCCUCAUUGGGGCUGGUGGUCAGGUGUUUCAGCAGCAUGUCUGUAUGGUGAUGGCCAUCCCAUCAUUUUCUACCGGAGCCAGGUUGGGAUUCGGGGUUUCCAUUCCCUACUUCCAGAAGAGCCUUAACAAGAUGAAAGUCCAUGUUGUAUUACAAUAAUGGCUCUUCAAUGUGGCCUGGCAGAUCUGUCCCUGAGUUUAUAGAGAGCACCCUCCGUCUUCUUCCAGUACAGAAGAAGAUGUUGAAAAAAGCCUAUACCCUGUUGUCACUUGCUAACUUUUUGUGGUUUGAUUUCUGGUCAAUUAGGACUGUAAGGGCCACUGAUUUCUCUAGUAAACACUUGGUAGUGGGCCACCUAAGUAAGGAGUGUCCUUGUGCUUGCCAAAAGCAUUAGAUUUUUUUUCUGUAUUCAGAAAUAUUUGCAGAAUACAUUUCUAACAGUUCCAAGUCCAUAUCCAAAGAUACUAUUUGCCUCCUCUAUUUUUUUUUUUUUUUUUUUGAGAUGGAGUUUCAUUCUUGUUGCCCAGGCUGGAGUGCAAUGGUGUGAUUUUGGCUCACUGAAGCUUCUGCUUUUCAGGUUCAAGCGAUUCUCCUGUUUCAGCCUCCCAAGUAGUCAGGAUUACAGGUGCCCACCACCACAUCUAGCUAAUUUUUCUAUUUUUAGUAGAGAUGGGGUUUCACCAUGUUGGCCAGGCUGGUCUCGAACUCUUGACCUUGGGUGAUCCACACUUCUUGGCCUCCCAAAAUGCUGGGAUUAUAGGUGUGUGCCACUGCACCCAGGCUGCUUCCUCUAGUUUUUUAUUCUUCCAUCAGUUCUUCCAUUGUCUUUUUACAUAUCAAAGCUAUAGGGGAGUGACCUCAGGAUGCUCUUUAACAAGUCAUUACCAUCAUAAUGUACACCAUUGACUUAACUCCAGCUUUUGAGUAUUAGUUUGUUCUCACAUUGCUAUAUGGAAAAUAUCCGAGACUGGGUAAUUUAUAAAGGAAAGAGGUUUAAUUGACUCACAGUUCUGUAUGGCUGAGAAGGCCUCAGGAAACUCAGAAUCAUGGCAGAAGGAGAAGGGGAAGAAAGGCACCUUCUCCAUAGGGUGCCAGGAAGGAGAAGUGCCAGCAAGGGAAAUGCCAGGUGCUUAUAAAAGCACCAGACUCAUGAGAACUCAUUAUCAAGAGAACAGCAUGGGGGAAACGACCCCCAUGACUCAAUUACCUCCUACUGGGUGUCUCCCACAACGUGGGGAUUGUGGGGAUACAAUUCAAGAUGAAACUUGGGUGGGGAUACAGCCAAACCAUAUCAGGUAUGGAGGAGAAUACACAUUAUUUAUAAAGUUAGUUCAAUUCUAGAAAUAUUAAAGUCUAAAAACACUUGAGUUUUAAACCAAGAAUAUACAGGUAAAGGGGAGGAGACAAUGCCUUAAUAUGUUAUUCAGUGCCAUUGACACAUGUGAAAAAGAAUAUAUAUCUGAUAAGUGGUCUGUAUUUAAAGCAUAUAAAGAACUAUCACAACUCAAUAAUAAAAAGACAACCCAAUCAAAAAAUGAUCUGAAUAGACAUUUCUCCAAAGAAGAUGUACAAAUGGCCAAUAAGCACACAAAAAGAUGUUCAACAUCAGGGAAGUGAAAAUCAAAACCCUGAGAGUAUUUUAUACCCAGUAUGGCCAUAAUCAGAAAGUUAGAUAAUAUUAAGUGUUGAUGAGUAUGUGGAUAAAUCAGAACCUCAUACAUUGCUGGUGGGAAUAUAAAAUGGUGCAACUACUUUGGAAAACAGUUUGGCAGCUCCUCAAGAAGUUAAACAUAAAGUUACCAUGUGACCCAGCAGUUUUACUCCUAGAUAUAUACCCAAGAGAGAUAAAAGCAUAUGCCCACACAAAACUUGUACCUGAAUAUGCAUACCAGUAUUACUCAUGAUAGCCAAAAGCAAAAGGUGGAAACAACCAAAUUUUGUGAGUUUAGUUAGCUGGAGUUUACCACUGAAAGUCUGGUCAUCUCUGGGUUUGUCAAGCAAGUCCAUUUCAGAUACUGUAAGGCUGAGGAUCUAAUGUUGGACAGUGAUAUAUUCAUCAAAGUCACUCCAAGCCCUGAGGUCUCUUGAAAGCCUAGCCACUGACUUUUCAUGGGUGAGAACCAAGACCUUCCUGCUUAUACAUCUUUCUAACAAUAACCAAUGUGGCAUCAUGAUACAUGUGCUGACAUUGAUCUUCAGUAGCCCGUGCAAGAAUCCUGCCAGUUCUGUGGACCAACCAUCCGGUUUUUAAGUGGGACCCUUAAUUGCUAUUGACGAAUCUGACAUUCUCAGUAUGGGCCUGUGGCCAUUUAUUUGGCUGCUUUGACUUGGGAGGGUGAAAAAUGCACUCAGAAAUGUAAGAGUGUUUGACCCUGCUGGGGGACUCAGUGGCCUAGAACUUGUUACUAGGGCAAUGCUGUGUGUGUCUCUCCCACUCUCAGCCCUGCUUUUUCAGCUGGUGAGAGCAGGGAGCAGUAGAUGCAGGAAGGCACAUCCUGCAAGGCUGAGAUGGAGAGGGAGAUUGAUCUGGGCCGACCAUCCAGGAAGUGGGCGACAUGUGUGAGCCGGGAAGGUGAAAGGCACAUUUGGAGGGCAUGUUAUCUCCUUGGGGAUAGUUUUCAUUUAUAUAACAAAUACUGAGUUCCAGGCAAGGCAGUACUAGAGAGCCACAAGGACUAACCAGCCACUGCCCUAAAGGAGUCCAUGUUGUGAAAUAUGGGUUAGGUGACCAUAUUCACGAAUCUGCUGAUGAGGAUGUCUAAUUGGUUGCAUAGUUGGAUGCAUGGGCAUGGGUGCUAAAUAUUUAAGUCAGGGUGCUUCCAGAAGGCUCUGAAAGUAUGGGUCCAGGAAUGGUGGGAAGGACACAGGUAGUGACAGAACUGGUGUCCUCCAACACUGAGGAUGAGCAACAGAGAGGGCUUGAGCAGCAGAUUUUGGGGGCAAGAUCCGCAUAGUGACUCACAUAUGCGUAUGGUAUAGUGAUCGCCCCUUUCUGCUUCCUUCUUCAACACCCAUUGCACGGUACUCUUCAAGGGCCCGUGUUUUGGGGGACCCUGUCAUAAUCACCCUAUUCUUUAGUGCCUAGUGGACAUCACAUUGAGAAGACAAAGCUUGGCUUUGAAGGAAAGAGCUGGGGCUGUGACCUCAGGCCUGUCAGAGGCGAAGAGAAAAGAGU